rnacentral:rRNA from 1 species
GGGAAACCCUGAUGCAGCGACGUCGCGUGAGUGAUGAAGGCCUUUGGGUUGUAAAGCUCUGUUUUUAGGAACAAAAAAAUGAGUGUACUUAAAGAGAAAGGACCGGCUAAUUUCGUGCCAGCAGCCGCGGUAAGACGAGGGGUCCAAGCGUUAUCCGGAAUUAUUGGGCGUAAAGCGGGUGUAGGUGGUUUUGUCAGUCAGAAGUGAAAGCCUCAGGCUUAACCUGAGAAGUGCUUUUGAUACUACAAGGCUUGAGUUAGGGAGAGGAUAGUAGAAUUCCUGGUGUAGUGGUGAAAUACGUAGAUAUCAGGAGGAAUACCGGAGGCGAAGGCGUCUAUCUGGCCCAACACUGACACUGAGAUCGAAAGCGUGGGGAGCAAACAGGCUUAGAUACCCUGGUAGUCCACGCCGUAAACAAUGGACACUUGGCGUUGAUGAUUUGACCUCAUCAGUG